rnacentral:rRNA from 1 species
GUGGGGAAUUUUGGACAAUGGGCGCAAGCCUGAUCCAGCAAUGCCGCGUGCAGGAAGAAGGCCUUCGGGUUGUAAACUGCUUUUGUCAGGGAAGAAAUCUUCUGGGCUAAUACCCCGGGAGGAUGACGGUACCUGAAGAAUAAGCACCGGCUAACUACGUGCCAGCAGCCGCGGUAAUACGUAGGGUGCGAGCGUUAAUCGGAAUUACUGGGCGUAAAGCGUGCGCAGGCGGCUUUGCAAGACAGAUGUGAAAUCCCCGGGCUCAACCUGGGAACUGCAUUUGUGACUGCAAGGCUAGAGUACGGCAGAGGGGGAUGGAAUUCCGCGUGUAGCAGUGAAAUGCGUAGAUAUGCGGAGGAACACCAAUGGCGAAGGCAAUCCCCUGGGCCUGUACUGACGCUCAUGCACGAAAGCGUGGGGAGCAAACAGGAUUAGAAACCCUAGUAGUCC